rnacentral:rRNA from 1 species
AGAGUUUGAUCCUGGCUACAGAACGAACGCUGGCGGCAUGCCUAACACAUGCAAGUCGAACGAGACCUUCGGGUCUAGUGGCGCACGGGUGCGUAACGCGUGGGAAUCUGCCCUUGGGUUCGGAAUAACUCCGGGAAACUGGAGCUAAUACCGGAUGGUUCCUACGGGAUAAAGAUUUAUCGCCAAAAGAUGAGUCCGCGUACGAUUAGCUAGUUGGUGAGGUAAUGGCUCACCAGGGCGACGAUCGUUAGCUGGUCUGAGAGGACGAUCAGCCACACUGGGACUGAGACACGGCCCAGACUCCUACGGGAGGCAGCAGUGGGGAAUAUUGGACAAUGGGGGCAACCCUGAUCCAGCCAUGCCGCGUGAGUGAUGAAGGCCUUCGGGUUGUAAAGCUCUUUUGGCGGGGACGAUGAUGACGGUACCCGCAGAAUAAGCCCCGGCUAACUUCGUG